rnacentral:rRNA from 1 species
UGAGUACGAGAUGCUACGGCAUCGAAGCAGUCUAUGUCAUACUUCCAAGAAAAGCUUGCAAUGUCAUAAACAAAUAAUGCCUGUACCAUAACCGACACAGGUGGGUAGGUAGAGUAUACUAAGGGGCGCGAGAUAACUCUCUCUAAGGAACUCGGCAAAAUGACUCCGUAACUUCGGGAGAAGGAGUGCCUUAUUUUUAUAAGGUUGCAAUAACAGGAUCCAAGCAACUGUUUACCAAAAACACAGGUCUCCGCUAAGUCGUAAGACGAUGUAUGGGGGCUGACGCCUGCCCAGUGCCAGAAGGUUAAAGAAGUUGGUUAGCAUUAGCGAAGCUGAUAACUGAAGCCCUGGUGAACGGCGGCCGUAACGAUAACGGUCCUAAGGUAGCGAAAUUCCUUGUCGGGUAAGUUCCGACCCGCACGAAAGGCGUAAUGAUUUGGAUACUGUCUCGGAGAGGGGCUCGGUGAAAUAGACUUGUCUGUGAAGAUGCGGACUACCUGCACCUGGACAGAAAGACCCUAUGAAGCUUUACUGUAACUUGAGAUUGAAUUUGGACUUUAUCUGCGCAGUAUAGGUGGGAGACGUUGAAAAUAUUCUUGCGGGAAUAUUGGAGUCAUCAGUGAGAUACCACUCUUAUAAUGUUAGAUUUCUAACUUUGUAUCAUUAUCUGGUCAAAGAACAGUUUCAGGCGGGCAGUUUGACUGGGGCGGUCGCCUCCCAAACGGUAACGGAGGCGCACAAAGGUUUCCUCUGAACGUGUAGAAAUCGUAUCUAGAGUGUAAAGGCAUAAGGAAGCUUGACUGUGAGACCUACAAGUCGAGCAGGGACGAAAGUCGGUCUUAGUGAUCUGACGGUGCUGAGUGGAAAGGCCGUCACUCAACGGAUAAAAGUUACUCUAAGGAUAACAGGCUGAUCUCCCCCAAGAGUUCACAUCGACGGGGAGGUUUGGCACCUCGAUGUCGGCUCAUCGCAUCCUGGGGCGGUAGUACGUCCCAAGGGUUGGGCUGUUCGCCCAUGAAAGCGGUACGCGAGCUGGGUUCAGAACGUCGUGAGACAGUUCGGUCCAUAUCCGGUGUAGGCGUUAGAAUAUUGAGAGGAGCCUUCUUUAGUACGAGAGGACCGAGAAGGACAUACCUCUGGUGUACCAGUUAUCGUGCCAACGGUAAACGCUGGGUAGCCAUGUAUGGAGAGGAUAACCGCUGAAAGCAUCUAAGUGGGAAGCCCACCUCAAGAUAAGUAUUCUC